AUUGAACGCUGGCGGCAUGCCUUACACAUGCAAGUCGAACGGCAGCACGGGGGCAACCCUGGUGGCGAGUGGCGAACGGGUGAGUAACAUAUCGGAACAUACCCUAGAGUGGGGGAUAACGUAGCGAAAGUUACGCUAAUACCGCAUACGAUCUAAGGAUGAAAGUGGGGGAUCUUCGGACCUCAUGCUCAUGGAGUGGCCGAUAUCUGAUUAGCUAGUUGGUGAGGUAAAGGCUCACCAAGGCGACGAUCAGUAGCUGGUUUGAGAGAACGACCAGCCACACUGGAACUGAGACACGGUCCAGACUCCUACGGGAGGCAGCAGUGGGGAAUUUUGGACAAUGGGGGCAACCCUGAUCCAGCAAUGCCGCGUGAGUGAAGAAGGCCUUCGGGUUGUAAAGG
rnacentral:rRNA from 1 species